GGGCGGGCGUCUUUUCGGCCAGCCUGACUCCAUAUUCACCCAUGUCUUUUGCGUACUACUUGUUUCCUUGGUGGGUUCGCCCACCAACAGGACCAUUCAAACCUUUUUGUAAUUGCAAUCAGCGUCAGCAAAACAAUGUAAUAAAUUACAACUUUCAACAACGGAUCUCUUGGUUCUGGCAUCGAUGAAGAACGCAGCGAAAUGCGAUAAGUAGUGUGAAUUGCAGAAUUCAGUGAAUCAUCGAAUCUUUGAACGCACAUUGCGCCCUUUGGUAUUCCAAAGGGCAUGCCUGUUCGAGCGUCAUUUGUACCCUCAAGCUUUGCUUGGUGUUGGGCGUUUUUGUCUCUGGUCCGCCAGCGACUCGCCUUAAAAUCAUUGGCAGCCGGCCUACUGGUUUCGGAGCGCAGCACAAAUUUGCGCUUCUUCCAGCAGCGGUCCGCGUCCAUGAAGCCACUUUUUCAACGUUUGACCUCGGAUCAGGUAGGGAUACCCGCUGAACUUAAGCAUAUCAAUAAGCGGAGGAA
rnacentral:rRNA from 1 species